rnacentral:tRNA from 1 species
UGGGCUAUAGCUCAGCUGGGAAGCGCCUGCUUUGCACGCAGGAGGUCUGCGGUUCGAUCCCGCAUAGCUCCACCA